rnacentral:rRNA from 1 species
GACGAACGCUGGCGGCGUGCCUAAUACAUGCAAGUUGAGCGCUGAAGGUUGGUACUUGUACCAACUGGAUGAGCAGCGAACGGGUGAGUAACGCGUGGGGAAUCUGCCUUUGAGCGGGGGACAACAUUUGGAAACGAAUGCUAAUACCGCAUAAAAACUUUAAACACAAGUUUUAAGUUUGAAAGAUGCAAUUGCAUCACUCAAAGAUGAUCCCGCGUUGUAUUAGCUAGUUGGUGAGGUAAAGGCUCACCAAGGCGAUGAUACAUAGCCGACCUGAGAGGGUGAUCGGCCACAUUGGGACUGAGACACGGCCCAAACUCCUACGGGAGGCUGCAGUAGGGAAUCUUCGGCAAUGGACGAAAGUCUGACCGAGCAACGCCGCGUGAGUGAAGAAGGGUUUCGGAUCGUAAAACUCUGUUGGUAGAGAAGAACGUUGGUGAGAGUGGAAAGCUCAUCAAGUGACGGUAACUACCCAGAAAGGGACGGCUAACUACGUG